rnacentral:rRNA from 1 species
GACGAACGCUGGCGGCGGGCUUAACACAUGCAAGUCGAACGGAAAGGCCCUGCUUGUGUGGGGUGCUCGAGUGGCGAACGGGUGAGUAACACGUGAGUAACCUGCCCUUGACUUUGGGAUAACUUCAGGAAACUGGGGCUAAUACCGUAUAGGAGCUCCUGCUGCAUGGUGGGGGGUGGAAAGUUUCGGCGGUUGGGGAUGGACUCGCGGCUUAUCAGCUUGUUGGUCGGGUAGGUGCUUACCAAGGCUGUGACGGGUAGCCGGCCUGAGAGGGUGACCGGGCACCAUGGGACUGCGGUACGGCGCAGAGUCCUACGGGAGGCAGCAGUGGGGAAUAUUGUACAAUGGGAGGAAGCCUGAUGCAGAGACGCCGCGUGCGGGAUGCCGGCCUUCGGGGUGUAAACAGCUUUCGCCUGUGACGAAGCGUGAGUGACGGUAAUGGGUAAAGAAGCACCGGCUAACUACGUG